UUGUAAUUUGUAGAAGGUGCCUCGGGAGCGACGACGGUGCAAGUUUCCUGGAACGGAACGUCGAAGAGGGUGAGAAUCCCGUCCGUCGCCGAUCGUCAAACCCGCGUGAGGCCCUUUCGAAGAGUCGAGUUGUUUGGGAAUGCAGCUCUAAGACGGUGGUAAGUUCCAUCUAAAGCUAAAUAUCCGCCAGAGACCGAUAGCGCACAAGUAGAGUGAUCGAAAGAUGAAAAGCACUUUGAAAAGAGAGUCAAACAGUACGUGAAAUUGUUGAAAGGGAAGCGCUUGCAACCAGACUCGUCCGCGCGUGCUCAGCCGUUCUCCGGAGCGGUGCAUUCUCGUGCGGACGGGCCAGCAUCGGUUUCGGUGGCCGGACAAAGGUCCUGGGAACGUAGCUCCUCUCGGGGAGUGUUAUAGCCCGGGGCGCAAUGCGGCCUGCCGGGACCGAGGACCGCGCAUUUUGCUAGGAUGCUGGCGUAAUGGUUGCCAG
rnacentral:rRNA from 1 species